GUAAAGUUUUAUUCUUACUUAAAUAUUUAUUAUUUGAAUAUUUUACAUGUAAAUUUUUGUGAGUAAUGAGGUUAUCUAAAGGGUUAUUUGUUAUUCGCAGUAUUUGAUAUUAGUAAUUAAGGUAACUUAGAAUUAGUAAUUUAAGUUAUGGUCGGCAAAAGUCGUGCCAGCAGCCGCGGUUAUACGUAGGACUUAGAUAAAUAUUAUUGGUGUUGAAGUUAAUUUGUAAGUGAAGAUUUAUAGUUGAUUAUAGAAGGUAGAAUUUGAAAAUUAAGAAUAUAUUUUAUUAUAUAAUGAAGCUUUGAAAUUUAAAUUGUAAACUAGGAUUAGAUACCCUAUUAUUUUUAAAUGUAAAUGUAAUAUACACUUGAGUAGUAGUAGCUAAGUUCUUGAAACUUAAAGAAUUUGGCGGUGUUUUAGUCUUUUCAGAGGAAUCUGUCCUGUAAUUGAUAAUACACAUUAUAUUAAAUUUAAUUUUGUAAUGUCAGCUUGUAUACCGCCGUCUUAAGAUUAUCUUUUAAGAGGAAUAAUUUUCUGGAUUUUUAAAUAAAAUUUAUGUCAGGUCAAGGUGCAGCUUAUGAUUAAGUAGGAGAUGGAUUACAAUAAAAUAUAAUUAAACGGAUAUUAUGUUGAAAUGAAUAAUUGAAGGUGGAUUUGAAAGUAAUAUUGUUAAAUUAUGAUAAUGUGAUUAUAGCUCUAAAACAUGUACACAUCGCCCGUCGCUCUCAUUUGUUUAAGGUGAGAUAAGUCGUAACAUAGUAGAUGUACUGGAAAGUGUAUCUAGAAUGUC
rnacentral:ncRNA from 1 species